rnacentral:tRNA from 1 species
UAGGAGGUUGUAUAUAGGGAGUACGGGGAGUUUUGAUCUCCCAGGUGCAGGUUCGAUUCCUGUCUUUCUAA